UACGGGGGGAGCAAGCGUUGUUCGGAUUUACUGGGCGUAAAGGGCGCGUAGGCGGUCGUGACAAGUCACUUGUGAAAUCUCCGGGCUUAACUCGGAACGGUCAAGUGAUACUGUCGGACUAGAGUACAGAAGGGGCAACUGGAAUCUCGGUGUAGCGGUGAAAUGCGUAGAUAUCGAGAGGAACACCUGCGGCGAAGGCGGGUUGCUGGGCUGAUACUGACGCUGAGGCGCGAAAGCCAGGGGAGCAAACGGG
rnacentral:rRNA from 1 species